rnacentral:rRNA from 1 species
CCUACGGGAGGCAGCAGUGAGGAAUAUUUGUCAAUGGCCGAGAGGCUGAACCAGCGAAGUCGCGUGAGGGAAGAAUGUCCUAUGGAUUGUAAACCUCUUUUGUCAGGGAGCAAAGUCACCCACGUGUGGGCCUUGGAGAGUACCUGACGAAAAAGCAUCGGCUAACUCCGUGCAAGCAGCCGCGGUAAUCCGGGGUAUGCGAGCGUUAUCCGGAUUUAUUGGGUUAAAGGGGUGCGUAGGCGGGUUAUCAAGUCAGCGGUAAAAUCGUGGAGCUCAACUCCAGCCAGCCGGUGAAACUGAUGAUCUUGAGUGAGCGAGAAGUAUGCGGAAUGCGUGGUGUAGCAGUGAAAUGCAUAGAUAUCACGCAGAACACCGAUUGCGAAGGCAGCAUACCGGAG